UUAGCCUCAGUUCAGGCAG
rnacentral:rRNA from 1 species